CCUAUAUAAAUUGGUUUACCUUCUUCUUUCACUUACUCAAAUCUAAUACAGAUCUAAGGGUUUGCCGAAAUUGUGAAGAAAAAACCAAGCGAGUAUAUCCUCUGAGGCACAGAUUACUAUAGCAAUGGAAUCAGCUGGAGUUCCUUCAACAUCGACGGAGUCUAUGACUGGAGCCAAUAUUUCAUCCGGAGACUCUUCUAGUUUUCCAAUUUGGUGGCCGUAUAUGUCUUUGUACCCCACUCCAGUAAUUGAACCUCUGGAGCUACAUUUAUCCCCGGAGGAAAAUAUGCAUGGUUUAUCUACUACCAUGAUUGAAAAGAGAUGGAGAAUAUUCUUUAGACUUCUCAAACGUAGUGAGCCCUUACAUUGCUACAUAUUUGAGAUGCAUGAGGUUGAAAGAGGAAAAAUUACUAGGUAUCAAUCAAUAGUCCAUGCACAUGAAGUAACAACAAGGAUUGUAGCCAUGAGCGAACAUAUAACAACAAUGCCUAUGGUUCUAAUAUUUAACCACGUCCAUCUUCAAAGAACGAACAUGUUAACCCUACAUAAACGUUUAGGGAAUUGGAUAGUGGAGCAGCGCAACUCUAACGAUUCAGAACGUAGGGACAAGUAUUACAUACAUACUCUUAUUGGGAAAAAGUUCCGAUCAAUAUAUGAAGUCAUGACAUUUAUAUUAUGCGAUGUCUUUGUUGAAGAUUUGAACAUGACAUAAGGUAUUAGAAUUUCAGAAGGUUGCCGAUUUUGGGUUCACUAAUUUUUCUGAUAUUUUUUAUAUUCUGGAGCCAAUAUUCCAUCCAGAGACUCUUCUAGUUUUCCAAUUUGGUUGCCGUAUAUGUCUUUGUACCCCACACCAGUAAUUGAACCUCUGGAGCUACAUUUGUCCCCGGAGGAAAAUACGCAUGGUUUAUCAACUACCAUGAUUGAAAAGAGAUGGAGAAUAUUCUUUAGACUUCUCCAAUGUAGUGAGCCCUUACAUUGCUACAUAUUGGAGAUGCAUGAGGUACGUAGGUUACAACAUAUUAAGUAUACAAGUACAAAUUAUUAUUACUAUUAUUGUUGUUGUUGUUGUCGUUAUUGUCGUUGUUAUUAUCAUUGUCUCAUGGUACAAUAGGUUGAAAGAGGAAAAAUUACUAGGUAUCAAUCAACAAUCCAUUUACAUGAAGUAACGACAACGAUUGUAGCCAUGAGCGAACAUAUAACAACAAUGCCCAUGGUUCUAAUAUUUAACCACGUCCGUCUUCAAAGAAGGAGCAUGUUAACCCUACAUAAACGUUUAGGGAAUUGGAUAAUGGAGUAGCGCAACUCUAACAAUUCAGAACGCAGGGACAAGUAUUACAUUCAUACUAUUAUGGGGAAAAAGUUCCGAUCAAUAAAUGAAGUCAUGACAUUUAUAUUAUGCAACGUCUUUGUUGAAGAUUUGAACAUGACAUAAGGUAUUAGAAUUUCAGAAGGUUGCCGAUUUUGGUUUCACUAUAUCUAUAUAAUUAAUGUUAAAUAAUGCUAGUAGUUAAGAAAGGUUUAGGAGAAUGUGAAUUUUUGUAUAACUUAGUUAUGUCAUGUUAAUGUUGUUUUAUCAACCUCUCCAAUUAGUUCAUAUUAUUGUUGUUGCAAUUUAAAUUAACUAAAUGAAAUUUAUG